CCUGUGUAAAUGGACCCUGGACCCAUUUGCUCAGCUCACCGUAUCCUCGUCUCUUCACAUGCAUUAUCUGCCAAAGAGCGUUGGAUUUGCAGUUAAGAGGGCUGAGUUUGAGAGACCUGUUUUGCUAUUUGAAUUUUGGCAAUUCGCCUCAUCUCUUUGGGCCUCAGUUUUAUCAUCUGUUAAAUGAGACUAGUAAGAUGUACCCUACCCUUUCUCCGUGUGACGAUACAUAUAACGUGCCAUCUAUGAGGAAGAAGCCCUCACCAGACCCUGAAUCUGCUGCCACCUUGAUCUUGGACUUCCCAGCCUCUAGAGUUGACUCUGGUGAGGAUUAAAGAGUUGACUUCCGGUGUUUGUACUGUGAAGAAGAAGUUUGAUGUGGAAUUGACUUUUUUCUUUUGUGGAUCAGUUCCCUUUUGGAGGACUGAUGAAUAUUUUGACAUCCUGCUGCUUUGCUUCACAAUCAUUUGAACAGAUGACUUGUCCAGUAUUCAGAGAUGAGCAGGUAUGCUGGAUCCAGCUCCCACUGGUUUGUGAGAUUCAACUGCUUCAAUCUCUGUGAAUCUGCGUUCCCAACUCUGUGUUCAGUGAUGCCACAUUGCUAACUGAAAAUAGAUGGUGGUGGGAGUAUUUACACCACUGAAAUUGGCAAACACUACAAAUCAUGGCUCCCUGCUCUGCCACUGACUGAUGCUUGUUAAACAUUUACCAGCAUAUGACUGCUCAUAGAAAACAUAGUUAGCUUUCCAUUUUCCCAUGUCCAAUGUCUAAAUAUGUCUUGAGAAAAUCUGUGCUGAAAUUGAAGCUUGAUUUUGGUAUUUUUGACGCUUCCUCCCUGUUCUGGGCUGCAUUGUGCCCCCUCUCCAAAUUCAUAUGUUGAAGUCUUAACCCCUGGUACAUCAGAAUAUGACUGUAUUUGGAGAUAGGGCCUUUAAAGAGGUAAUUAAGUUAAAAUGAAGCUGUUAAGGUCAUUGUAUUAAGUCCCUACUCCAACCUGACUGGUGUCCUUAUAAGAAGAGGAAAUUUGGACAUACAGAGUCACCAGGGUUGCACAUACACAGAGGAAAGACCAUGUGAGGACACAGUGAGAAGGUGACCAUCUGCAAGCCAAGGAGAGAGGCCUCAGGAGAUACCAAUCCUGCUGAUGUCUUGAUCUUGCAUUUGAAGCCUCCAGAACCAUGAGAAAACACAUUUGUUUUUUGAGCCAUCCAGUCUGCGAUACUUCGUUAUGGCAACCCUAGCAAACUAAUAUACCCCUCUGAUGAUUCUGUACUUUCUCAUUUUCCACCUUCCCCCUUUCCCCACUAGAAUGUCAAUCAGGGACUUUUCUAAUUCUUUACAGAAUGGCAUAGAAUCAGGAAAUGAAACUACAUCCUACUUAUCAACUUGCAUGUUUAGUGAUGGGGUUAGAGAUCCCAUGCUCAAGGGCCAGGUCAGCUGUUUCAUGCUGCAAAACUGCUGAUCCCUUUCUCCCCCUUGUCUUCCCACACUUGCUCCCAGAGUCUUGUGUUCAUAGGCAGUGAGGCAGGUGAGAGAAUGGAGCAGUGUGAAGAAUCACACAUAGGUGCAAAUACAAGUCAAGGGUGAAGGGCUCAAACAUGAUGGACGGACAGAGUUAUCUUCAUAUAAGGAACAAAAGACCUUUUUUUGGCCACAAAGAACUGCCUUUGUCCAAAAUAUGCUAUCUUAGAAAACUAUGAAAUCAUGGACUGAGAGCUGUUCACAGAUUAAAUUCUGAAAUUGGCAUCUUUAAUUCCAAAAACAUCCCCAGUUGAUUCAACUCCUUAUCAGGUUCCCACCUAAUUAUGUCAAAUGUAUCUCACUAUGCAAAAAAGGCCUCUGGAUGAAGCAACUUCAGUUUUUCAUGAAGAAUUAUAAUUCAGGCAGGCCUCUUGAUUUUGUUUAAUACCAGG
rnacentral:lncRNA from 1 species